CCGGAAUUAUUGGGCGUAAAGAGCUCGUAGGCGGUCUGUCACGUCUGCCGUGAAAACCCGAGGCUUAACCUCGUGGCUUGCGGUGGAUACGGGCAGACUAGAGGUAGGUAGGGGAGAACGGAAUUCCCGGUGUAGCGGUGAAAUGCGCAGAUAUCGGGAGGAACACCGGUGGCGAAGGCGACUACCUGGCCUGUUCUUGACGCUGAGGCACGAAAGCGUGGGGAGCAAACAGG
rnacentral:rRNA from 1 species